UGUGAUGUUUCAGGGACGCUCUCUUAAUUUUU
rnacentral:scRNA from 1 species